UACGGAGGGUGCAAGCGUUAUCCGGAAUUAUUGGGCGUAAAGCGUACGCAGGUGGCAAUGUAAGUCUGCUGUCAAAGCGUCUGGCUCAACCAGAUAAAGGCAGUGGAAACUACAUAGCUAGAGUAAGGUAGGGGUAGAGGGAAUUCCUGGUGUAGCGGUGAAAUGCGUAGAGAUCAGGAAGAACACCGGUGGCGAAAGCGCUCUGCUGGACCUUAACUGACACUGAGGGACGAAAGCUAGGGGAGCGAAUGGG
rnacentral:rRNA from 1 species